rnacentral:rRNA from 1 species
UGUUAGGGCACGACACCGGAGAGGGAGCCUGAGAAACGGCUACCACAUCCAAGGAUGGCAGCAGGCGCGCAAAUUACCCAAUCCCGACACGGGGAGGUAGUGACAAUAAAUAACAAUACGGGGUUCUUUAGGAUCUCGUAAUUGGAAUGAGUACAAUUUAAAUCUCUUAACGAGGAACAAUUGGAGGGCAAGUCUGGUGCCAGCAGCCGCGGUAAUUCCAGCUCCAAUAGCGUAUAUUAAAGUUGUUGCAGUUAAAAAGCUCGUAGUUGAAUUUCGGGGUUAGUAGGUUGGUCAUGCCUCUGGUAUGUACUGGUCUCACUGAUUCCUCCUUCCUGAUGAAUCUUAAUGCCAUUAAUUUGGUGUUUUGGGGAAUUUGGACUGUUACUUUGAAAAAAUUAGAGUGUUUAAAGCAAGCUAACGCUUGAAUACAUUAGCAUGGAAUAAUGAAAUAGACGUUCGAUCCUAUUUUGUUGGUUUCUAGGAUUGACGUAAUGAUUAAUAGGGAUAGUUKGGGGSCAUUAGUAUUCAAUUKUCAGARGUGAAAUUCUUGGAUUUAUUGAAGACCUACUACYGCRAASCAUUU